AGGGAACCUGGGGUUGGAUCACCUCCUUAC
rnacentral:rRNA from 1 species